UACGAAGGGGGCUAGCGUUGCUCGGAAUCACUGGGCGUAAAGAGCGUGUAGGCGGCCAAGUAGGUCCGGUGUGAAAACUCGAGGCUUAACCUCGAGAUGUCAUCGGAAACCAUUUGGCUAGAGUCCGGAAGAGGAAAGUGGAAUUCUUGGUGUAGCGGUGAAAUGCGUAGAGAUGUGGAGGAACACCGAUGGCGAAGGCAGCCCCCUGGGUCAACACUGACGCUCAUGCACGAAAGCGUGGGGAGCAAACAGG
rnacentral:rRNA from 1 species